rnacentral:rRNA from 1 species
UACGUAGGUGGCAAGCGUUGUCCGGAUUUACUGGGCGUAAAGAGCGCGCAGGCGGUCGUUCAAGUCGCGUGUGAAAGCCCCCGGCUCAACUGGGGAGGGUCACGCGAUACUGAUCGACUCGAAGGCAGGAGAGGGAAGUGGAAUUCCCGGUGUAGUGGUGAAAUGCGUAGAUAUCGGGAGGAACACCAGUGGCGAAGGCGGCUUUCUGGCCUGUUCUUGACGCUGAGGCGCGAAAGCUAGGGGAGCAAACGGG